GGCUCUGUGGCGCAAUGGAUAGCGCAUUGGACUUCUAGCUGGUGAAGGUAUUCAAAGGUUGUGGGUUCGAGUCCCACCAGAGUCG
rnacentral:tRNA from 1 species